GGAGGGGGGCAAGCGUUAUUCGGGAAUCAUUGGGGCGUAAAGCGCAGGUAGGCGGCCUCGUAUGUCCUAUGUGAAAGCCCUCGGGCUCAACUGAGGAAUUGCAUCGGAAACUGCGGAGCUUGAGUCCGGGAGAGGGAAGCGGAAUUCCCAGUGUAGCGGUGAAAUGCGUAGAUAUUGGGAGGAACACCAGUGGCGAAGGCGGCUUCCUGGACCGGUACUGACGCUGAGCUGCGAAAGCCAGGGGAGCGAACGGGAUUAGAUACCCCGGUAGUCCUGGCUGUAAACGAUGAGCACUUGGUGUGGCGGGUAUCGACCCCUGCCGUGCCGAAGCUAACGCAUUAAGUGCUCCGCCUGGGGAGUACGGUCGCAAGGCUG
rnacentral:rRNA from 1 species